GAUGAACGCUGGCGGCGUGCCUAAUACAUGCCAGUCGAGCGAACGGACGAGAAGCUUGCUUCUCUGAUGUUAGCGGCGGACGGGUGAGUAACACGUGGAUAACCUACCUAUAAGACUGGGAUAACUUCGGGAAACCGGAGCCAAUACCGGAUAAUAUUUUGAACCGCAUGGUUCAAAAGUGAAAGACGGUCUUGCUGUCACUUAUAGAUGGAUCCGCGCUGCAUUAGCUAGUUGGUAAGGUAACGGCUUACCAAGGCAACGAUGCAUAGCCGACCUGAGAGGGUGAUCGGCCACACUGGAACUGAGACACGGUCCAGACUCCUACGGGAGGCAGCAGUAGGGAAUCUUCCGCAAUGGGCGAAAGCCUGACGGAGCAACGCCGCGUGAGUGAUGAAGGUCUUCGGAUCGUAAAACCCUGUUAUUAGGGAAGAACAUAUGUGUAAGUAACUGUGCACAUCUUGACGGUACCUAAUCAGAAAGCCACGGCUAACUACGUG
rnacentral:rRNA from 1 species